rnacentral:rRNA from 1 species
GACGAACGCUGGCGGCGUGCUUAACACAUGCAAGUCGAACGGUGAAGCGCCUUCCUUUUUGGUGGGUGUGGAUGAGUGGCGAACGGGUGAGUAACACGUGAGUAACCUGCCCCCUUCUUCUGGAUAACCGCAUGAAAGUGUUGCUAAUACGGGAUAUUCUGGGUCUGUCGCAUGAUGGGUCUGGGAAAGAUAUUGUUUCGGUGGGGGAUGGGCUCGCGGCCUAUCAGCUUGUUGGUGGGGUGAUGGCCUACCAAGGCGGUGACGGGUAGCCGGCCUGAGAGGGUGGACGGUCACACUGGGACUGAGACACGGCCCAGACUCCGACGGGAGGCAGCAGUGGGGAAUAUUGCACAAUGGGCGCAAGCCUGAUGCAGCGACGCCGCGUGAGGGAUGGAGGCCUUCGGGUUGUGAACCUCUUUCGCCAGUGAAGCAGGCCUGCCUCGUUUGUGGGUGGGUUGACGGUAGCUGGAGAAGAAGCGCCGGCUAACUACGUG